rnacentral:rRNA from 1 species
GGGGCCCGUUGCGGGCAUGCUAAUACAUGCAAGUCGAGCGGACAGAAGGGAGCUUGCUCCCGGAUGUUAGCGGCGGACGGGUGAGUAACACGUGGGUAACCUGCCUGUAAGACUGGGAUAACUCCGGGAAACCGGAGCUAAUACCGGAUAGUUCCUUGAACCGCAUGGUUCAAGGAUGAAAGACGGUUUCGGCUGUCACUUACAGAUGGACCCGCGGCGCAUUAGCUAGUUGGUGGGGUAAUGGCUCACCAAGGCGACGAUGCGUAGCCGACCUGAGAGGGUGAUCGGCCACACUGGGACUGAGACACGGCCCAGACUCCUACGGGAGGCAGCAGUAGGGAAUCUUCCGCAAUGGACGAAAGUCUGACGGAGCAACGCCGCGUGAGUGAUGAAGGUUUUCGGAUCGUAAAGCUCUGUUGUUAGGGAAGAACAAGUGCGAGAGUAACUGCUCGCACCUUGACGGUACCUAACCAGAAAGCCACGGCUAACUACGUGCCAGCAGCCGCGGUAAUACGUAGGUGGCAAGCGUUGUCCGGAAUUAUUGGGCGUAAAGGGCUCGCAGGCGGUUUCUUAAGUCUGAUGUGAAAGCCCCCGGCUCAACCGGGGAGGGUCAUUGGAAACUGGGAAACUUGAGUGCAGAAGAGGAGAGUGGAAUUCCACGUGUAGCGGUGAAAUGCGUAGAGAUGUGGAGGAACACCAGUGGCGAAGGCGACUCUCUGCUCUGUAACUGACGCUGAGGAGCGAAGCGUGGGAGAGCGAACAGGAUUAGAUACCCUGGUAGUCCACGCCGUAUACGAUGAGUGCUAAGUGUUUAGGGGUUUCCGCCCCUUAGUGCUGCAGCUAACGCAUUAGCACUCCGGCUGGGGGAGUACAGACGCAAGACUGAUACUCAAAGGAAUUGACAGGGGGCGCGCACAGGCGGUGGAUCAUGUGGUUUAUUUCGAAGCACCGCGAGAAUCUUCACCACGUUUAGGCAUCCUCUGACAACCCUUAAUAUAGGGCUUCCCCAUCCCGGGAACAAGUGAAAGGUGGGU